rnacentral:rRNA from 1 species
GAUGAACGCUGGCGGCGUGCCUAAUACAUGCAAGUCGAGCGAACAGACGAGGAGCUUGCUCCUCUGACGUUAGCGGCGGACGGGUGAGUAACACGUGGAUAACCUACCUAUAAGACUGGGAUAACUUUGGGAAACCGGAGCUAAUACCGGAUAAUAUAUUGAACCGCAUGGUUCAAUAGUGAAAGACGGUUUUGCUGUCACUUAUAGAUGGAUCCGCGCCGCAUUAGCUAGUUGGUAAGGUAACGGCUUACAAAGGCGACGAUGCGUAGCCGACCGGAGAGGGUAAUGGGCCACACUGGAACGGAGAAACGGUCCAGACUCCUACGGGAGGCAGCAGUAGGGAAUCUUCCGCAAGGGGCGAAGGCCUGACGGAGCAACGCCGCGUGAGUAAUGAGGGUCUUCGGAUCGUAAAACUCUGUUAUAAGGGAAGAACAAAUGUGUAAGUAACUAUGCACGUCUUGACGGUAACUAAUCAGAAAGCCACGGCUAACUACGUG